rnacentral:rRNA from 1 species
GACGAACGCUGGCGGCGUGCUUAACACAUGCAAGUCGAGCGGUAAGGCCCUUUCGGGGGUACACGAGCGGCGAACGGGUGAGUAACACGUGGGUGACCUGCCCUCAGCUCUGGGAUAAGCCUGGGAAACCGGGUCUAAUACUGGAUAUGACUCCAUGACGCAUGUUGUGGGGUGGAAAGCCUUGUGCGGCUGAGGAUGGGCCCGCGGCCUAUCAGCUUGUUGGUGGGGUGAGGCCUACCAAGGCGACGACGGGUAGCCGGCCUGAGAGGGCGACCGGCCACACUGGGACUGAGACACGGCCCAGACUCCUACGGGAGGCAGCAGUGGGGAAUCUUGCGCAAUGGGCGAAAGCCUGACGCAGCGACGCCACGUGAGGGAUGACGGCCU